CCUACGGGAGGCAGCAGUAGGGAAUCUUCGGCAAUGGGGGCAACCCUGACCGAGCAACGCCGCGUGAGUGAAGAAGGUUUUCGGAUCGUAAAGCUCUGUUGUAAGAGAAGAACGGGUGUGAGAGUGGAAAGUUCACACUGUGACGGUAUCUUACCAGAAAGGGACGGCUAACUACGUGCCAGCAGCCGCGGUAAUACGUAGGUCCCGAGCGUUGUCCGGAUUUAUUGGGCGUAAAGCGAGCGCAGGCGGUUAGAUAAGUCUGAAGUUAAAGGCUGUGGCUUAACCAUAGUAUGCUUUGGAAACUGUUUAACGUGAGUGCAGAAGGGGAGAGUGGAAUUCCAUGUGUAGCAGUGAAAUGCGUAGAUAUAUGGAGGAACACCGGUGGCGAAAGCGGCUCUCUGGUCUGUAACUGACGCUGAGGCUCGAAAGCGUGGGGAGCAAACAGGAUUAGAUACCCUUGGUAGUC
rnacentral:rRNA from 1 species